CUGCGGCAGCGAACGUAUCACUUAAAGCGAUUCAGCGGGUUACGAUUGACGGAGCGAAGCGACGUCAAAGCGUAUACAAAGUCGAGUCGGUUUAAGGAUACGUUCGUUGGGUAGGGGAGCGUUCUGUAAGCCUGUGAAGGUGGCCUGUGAGGGUUGCUGGAGGUAUCAGAAGUGCGAAUGCUGACAUAAGUAACGAUAAAGCGGGUGAAAAGCCCGCUCGCCGGAAGACCAAGGGUUCCUGUCCAACGUUAAUCGGGGCAGGGUGAGUCGACCCCUAAGGCGAGGCCGAAAGGCGUAGUCGAUGGGAAACGGGUUAAUAUUCCCGUACUUGGUGUUACUGCGAAGGGGGGACGGAGAAGGCUAUGUUGGCCGGGCGACGGUUGUCCCGGUUUAAGCGUGUAGGUGUGUGUUCCAGGUAAAUCCGGUUCACUUUAACACUGAGGCGUGAUGACGAGGCACUACGGUGCUGAAGCAACAAAUGCCCUGCUUCCAGGAAAAGCCUCUAAGCAUCAGGUAACAUCAAAUCGUACCCCAAACCGACACAGGUGGUCAGGUAGAGAAUACCAAGGCGCUUGAGAGAACUCGGGUGAAGGAACUAGGCAAAAUGGUGCCGUAACUUCGGGAGAAGGCACGCUGACACGUAGGUGAAGUGAUUUACUCAUGGAGCUGAAGUCAGUCGAAGAUACCAGCUGGCUGCAACUGUUUAUUAAAAACACAGCACUGUGCAAACACGAAAGUGGACGUAUACGGUGUGACGCCUGCCCGGUGCCGGAAGGUUAAUUGAUGGGGUCAGCGCAAGCGAAGCUCCUGAUCGAAGCCCCGGUAAACGGCGGCCGUAACUAUAACGGUCCUAAGGUAGCGAAAUUCCUUGUCGGGUAAGUUCCGACCUGCACGAAUGGCGUAAUGAUGGCCAGGCUGUCUCCACCCGAGACUCAGUGAAAUUGAACUCGCUGUGAAGAUGCAGUGUACCCGCGGCAAGACGGAAAGACCCCGUGAACCUUUACUAUAGCUUGACACUGAACAUUGAGCCUUGAUGUGUAGGAUAGGUGGGAGGCUUUGAAGUGUGGACGCCAGUCUGCAUGGAGCCGACCUUGAAAUACCACCCUUUAAUGUUUGAUGUUCUAACGUGGACCCGUAAUCCGGGUUGCGGACAGUGUCUGGUGGGUAGUUUGACUGGGGCGGUCUCCUCCUAAAGAGUAACGGAGGAGCACGAAGGUUGGCUAAUCCUGGUCGGACAUCAGGAGGUUAGUGCAAUGGCAUAAGCCAGCUUGACUGCGAGCGUGACGGCGCGAGCAGGUGCGAAAGCAGGUCAUAGUGAUCCGGUGGUUCUGAAUGGAAGGGCCAUCGCUCAACGGAUAAAAGGUACUCCGGGGAUAACAGGCUGAUACCGCCCAAGAGUUCAUAUCGACGGCGGUGUUUGGCACCUCGAUGUCGGCUCAUCACAUCCUGGGGCUGAAGUAGGUCCCAAGGGUAUGGCUGUUCGCCAUUUAAAGUGGUACGCGAGCUGGGUUUAGAACGUCGUGAGACAGUUCGGUCCCUAUCUGCCGUGGGCGCUGGAGAACUGAGGGGGGCUGCUCCUAGUACGAGAGGACCGGAGUGGACGCAUCACUGGUGUUCGGGUUGUCAUGCCAAUGGCACUGCCCGGUAGCUAAAUGCGGAAGAGAUAAGUGCUGAAAGCAUCUAAGCACGAAACUUGCCCCGA
rnacentral:rRNA from 1 species